rnacentral:lncRNA from 1 species
GGAUAGUGGAAUCUAUCCAGGGACUGCAGAGAUAACUAGCUUCUCCACCAACUUCAGCAAUAACCAGAACAAUGUGGGGGAGGAUGAGUAUUCUAAUCCCUUAAUAGCAGAUGUCAUGCCACUUGGCUUUCUUGCCCUUUGUGUUUCAGCAAAAGCCAACGGUCAUACCCAAUGGCCGCCUGCCUGGCAGAUUUCAUAGCAGGAAGAGAGCUAAGGUGCAGGGAAGAGAAGAUAUGAAUGGAUACCUCUCCCCCAUGCCUUGAAUGCUUCAACUUGGAGGGAUGCUUUUUGAAAUCACUCAGCUUGGGUGAAACUGGAUACCUGAGGAAGGUGGCAAAGAGGAUCAGGAAAGAAGAGAAGGAAGGUGGAACACUGAAGCAUAGACUACCUUCAACAGGAUUGGUUGAUGGUGAAAACCAUUACGAAGCAUGUAUACCUGAAUCCCUGAAUCGCUGUGUUGUACAGCAGAAAUUAUCACAACAUUGUACAUCAACUGCACUUCAAUAAAACUUUAAAAAAUGAGCAAAAAAGCACUCUUUGAGCAGCUG